GAUGAUGAAAGGUCAUUGCUCAGUGGUAGAGCAUCUGCUAUGUAUACAGAAGGUCCAGGUUCAAUCCGUGGCAUCUUCA